UGUGUGUUCCAGGUAAAUCCGGUUCACUUUAACACUGAGGCGUGACGACGAGGCACUACGGUGCUGAAGCAACAAAUGCCCUGCUUCCAGGAAAAGCCUCUAAGCAUCAGGUAACAUCAAAUCGUACCCCAAACCGACACAGGUGGUCAGGUAGAGAAUACCAAGGCGCUUGAGAGAACUCGGGUGAAGGAACUAGGCAAAAUGGUGCCGUAACUUCGGGAGAAGGCACGCUGACAUGUAGGUGAAGUGAUUUACUCAUGGAGCUGAAGUCAGUCGAAGAUACCAGCUGGCUGCAACUGUUUAUUAAAAACACAGCACUGUGCAAACACGAAAGUGGACGUAUACGGUGUGACGCCUGCCCGGUGCCGGAAGGUUAAUUGAUGGGGUCAGCGCAAGCGAAGCUCCUGAUCGAAGCCCCGGUAAACGGCGGCCGUAACUAUAACGGUCCUAAGGUAGCGAAAUUCCUUGUCGGGUAAGUUCCGACCUGCACGAAUGGCGUAAUGAUGGCCAGGCUGUCUCCACCCGAGACUCAGUGAAAUUGAACUCGCUGUGAAGAUGCAGUGUACCCGCGGCAAGACGGAAAGACCCCGUGAACCUUUACUAUAGCUUGACACUGAACAUUGAGCCUUGAUGUGUAGGAUAGGUGGGAGGCUUUGAAGUGUGGACGCCAGUCUGCAUGGAGCCGACCUUGAAAUACCACCCUUUAAUGUUUGAUGUUCUAACGUGGACCCGUAAUCCGGGUUGCGGACAGUGUCUGGUGGGUAGUUUGACUGGGGCGGUCUCCUCCUAAAGAGUAACGGAGGAGCACGAAGGUUGGCUAAUCCUGGUCGGACAUCAGGAGGUUAGUGCAAUGGCAUAAGCCAGCUUGACUGCGAGCGUGACGGCGCGAGCAGGUGCGAAAGCAGGUCAUAGUGAUCCGGUGGUUCUGAAUGGAAGGGCCAUCGCUCAACGGAUAAAAGGUACUCCGGGGAUAACAGGCUGAUACCGCCCAAGAGUUCAUAUCGACGGCGGUGUUUGGCACCUCGAUGUCGGCUCAUCACAUCCUGGGGCUGAAGUAGGUCCCAAGGGUAUGGCUGUUCGCCAUUUAAAGUGGUACGCGAGCUGGGUUUAGAACGUCGUGAGACAGUUCGGUCCCUAUCUGCCGUGGGCGCUGGAGAACUGAGGGGGGCUGCUCCUAGUACGAGAGGACCGGAGUGGACGCAUCACUGGUGUUCGGGUUGUCAUGCCAAUGGCACUGCCCGGUAGCUAAAUGCGGAAGAGAUAAGUGCUGAAAGCAUCUAAGCACGAAACUUGCCCCGAGAUGAGUUCUCCCUGAGACUUUAGGUCUCCUGAAGGAACGUUG
rnacentral:rRNA from 1 species